rnacentral:lncRNA from 1 species
GGGACCGGGAACGGUACGGGGGGGAGGCGGCCGCGGAGCAACACCUCCCCCUUUCUCCCCCUCCACCGCCUCACUGAGAGGAGCUCGCUGCCGGCCCAACGCGCCUGCGCGGAGCCGCCGGACACGCGCCCCGCGCGUCCACGAUCGCGCGUCCGCGCCCGUCCGUGCCCGGCCCCGGAGUCGGCGCGCAUGCGCGGUGCGUGACCGGCUGCCCCUGCUGCCCAGUGUUGUGGGCUCUGUGAAACGGGAUGAAACUACCUCUGCGCUGAGCUUCCGUGGAAGUGACGGCCAUAUACUGGGCGAGUGAACUGCAAACACUUCCUGACAAAUGAUACCUGUGUCCUGUCACCUGCUGGAGGGCGCCUGCGUUGACUGGGACAGGACGUCCUUUGAGCCCUGCGGUAGGUGGAAUGACUGGAGAAGAAGCUGGUAGGUAGCAAGUUCACCAAGUAUUUGACCCCACUCCUGCCUGCAACGAGGAGUGCCUAGGAAAGUGAGUGCUUUGGGGUGGAAUAUACACACCAAAACGUGGGAUUGGGUUUGAUUAAAGGAUGUAGGUUGAGAGUCCUGUUAAUCUAAAAACAGGGUGAUUUUAUUUAAUUUGAUGUUUAUGAAGUGACAAGAUGCUGCUUUUCCUCAGGUCUUUUCUGCUUUUUCUUCCCUCAUAGUGGUAUACAAAUCUAUCUUUUCUAGCACAUCUGCUAGUGUGGCCAGCUGAUAUGGGGGGAUUAACCUGACCUGAAAAAAAAUACAUAUUUUUAACUAGUUAAGUUGUUGACCUGGUUGGUUCUCUAAUGCAAGUUGAAAAGUGUGUGUUUAUGGUACUUUUCUAGUUUAGGGCAGGAGGCAGGAAAAGCCUCUUGUAGGGAGAGGGAAAUCUGAAUUCUCACAUGAACCUCACAGGCUUUUGUGGUUUGAAAACACAGCCUUGUAAGUCCUUUAAACUCACCUGAAUUCACUAACCUGGGAAAAGUUGUAAUCUCAAGUGGAAAUUGUGAGAAAUUUGUGGUUUCAUAUGCUUUUCACCUUAGACUAGGUUUUGGGUAAUGGCUUUAUAAUAAAAGCAAAACUGUGUAAGGUGCA